rnacentral:lncRNA from 1 species
UGGGGCAUGACAGAAAUGGUAUUAAAGCCUAAGUUAUGAUUAUUUGGGACUGUGGUAUAAGUGAUUAAUGCAUGAUAUAAGUAAUAUCAGAGCUUAGGUUAUGAUCACUAGGGAUUGUGACUUAAGUGGUAUUUACGUAUAAAGUUAUAAUUACUAAAGACAUGAUAGAUCUAGCUUAAAGGAUUCAAAGAUUGGAUUUCAAAUUA